CCGGCGAAACUUGCUUUUGAUGAGUGGUGGCUUUUUCCUGCUGCACUACGCUUUCGUAACAUUCUUCACGUGUUCACAAUGGCAAGUCUCAACGGUACACAAAGUCUUAAAAAUCUUCUUCGGCGAAUGACGACGAACAAGUAUAAAACGUGUCUACAGCACGCUGGAAAACCACAGCGAAACGCUAGCAAAACCACAAAUCCUACCCGAGCAAGAUGGCCCUCCGGUGGCUUUACUUGUGGGAGCGGGAAGUGCGAUCUAGCAAUUGUCACUGAGAUCAGUGGUUCGUUCUAUGUUCGCAAACUCUGUAACUCGAUGCUCGGUGUAAAAUAUCUAGCCCCAUCACCAUCGUGACUGUUGGUUUACGUUCGCCAUUUUGGUAUCUGUAUCAAGCACAUUCUCUGGCGUCUACGGACUCGUGUCUGUCUUUAAGAUGGGGAAAAAGAAUCCACUAAGAGGCUUUAUUUAAACAAAAGGGCAUCAUGCUGGCGGGAAAAGAUAACAACGGAGCAGCACUGCGUGGCCUCGCAAUCCCAGCCACCCUACGAGCUCUGGAAGUGUUGUUUAAAAGACGGCCCUGCCAGAAGCGACGACCGCGCACUCGUACUACAUGCGCAGGAAGCGCGGCACUUGAAAGGCUUUAGACCAAAGCAAGUAUUAAUUAAAAUUGUGGAAAGUGAAGAACCAUCGUCGGACUAGUGCACGGCAUUUACUUUUGUGUUGGCGUGCGUUCCAUAAAAUCUGUUCUAUAAGCACACGCUGAGCCAGAGGAAAAUAUCCCACAUGCAGGGAAAACAAGACCAAUCCAAGUACCGAAUCUGAGCACCCGGAAAGAUGGCUUCGGUCAUUUUCCUGAAUGUGCCAAACUUCUCUACGCUAUGCGAUGCAGGAACAAGAACUGCAAGAGAAAAACUAGAGUGAAAUGCAUGAAAUGCAAUGUGUUUCUUUGCCUUCUAGCAAAGAAUUGCUUUUAUGAUUUCCAUAACCCUCUGCACUAAUGUCAACAUUCGUGGACGCCUCAGCUUGCAUUUAAAAAUGUGAAAAUGGAUUUAUAAUUUUUUUAACAUACACUCUCGAGGAAAGACACUUAUGUGUCAUUCACUUACCACAUUUAAUGUUGAUAGUGAGUUUGGUUUAAUUUUGUUGAGUAGGCUAGUUUAUUGCCCGGAUUUUUUUUGCGUUCUGAUAAUGCAACGUGUAAGUGCGAGUUACACUCAACUAUAUCACAGUUGUUACUUUUAACUAAAAUGAGAAUUUGUUUUACACCUGUCUUAAACUUGAAUAAAGGAUUCAACCCGGUUCUCAAAUUGAUUAUA